GUCGACUAUGUAGUGAAAGGGAAUCAAACAAAAGGAAACAAAAGAAAAAAGGAAGGAACACAAAAAAAGAAUUAAGGUAGCCAAAGAAUGAAAAAUAAAUAAAUAAAACAAAAGAUGAAGAAAAGGGUAAGGGAAAAAGAGAAAAUUUUGAGAUUUUCCAAAUAAAAAUAUAUUUUUUAAAAACAACCAAUUAUUGCCCCCACUAAACUAGGUACCCUAAUUCAUCCAACCACUACUACAUAUACGGCACACACAUAGAGAAGCAAAAAUAUUACCAUUUUGCUCACGUAAAGACUUGAACACAAGAUCAAAAGAUAAACUAACACUGUACCACUAAACCAAUAGGUUCAUUCUGACACAAAUUGAGUGAAAAUUAUAUUUAAGCCAAAAUUAACAAAAUUCC
rnacentral:lncRNA from 1 species